rnacentral:lncRNA from 10 species
GGCCUCUGAUGCUGUGGCAGGGUGGCUGUGGCAUCCCGUCCUCCAGUGCAACCCGUGCCUCAGGACGCCCUGCACACUGACAGUCAAGGUGUGCACAGCACAGCACCCAGCGGGUUUCACUGACAGGGGAUGGGAGCCGCAGCCCCCAACCCUCAGAGUUCACAGCAACAGAAGCAAGAUGACAGCCAGAUAAUCCACAAUGCCAGGGGCUUUUGAGAGUAAUGAGUCCUUUCUGUCUUUGGAUGGGUGACACUGGUGGCUCACUUCACAGGACAGAGAAGUACACAGCUGACCACAGUUCCCAGCCUCACUUCAGCUGGACUGAGACCACGUAACCAGGCCUGGGGGAUGGAAUGAAGGCAGAAGUUACGUCCUGCCCAGCCAGAAACCAUCCUACUCAAUCUGCCUUCCUCUGAGUGCUGACGAGAGUCUUCAAGGCUGGAAGGAUGAAGGGCUCACCCACCUAAGCCAGCAUGCUGCCCGCAGAAAGGACCUGUUGCACCAGGAAAGAAGGAGACCAAGGCUUAAGGAGAAGCCGAACCCAGAAGUGGGAAGGAAUCCCACAGAGACUCCGGAACCCAGUAUCCCGCAGCCUGCAGGCCCUGGCCAGGGCACUGUCCUUGGGCCCUAAGGAGCCGCCAUUCAUGGACUAGCACUCAGAGGACCCCAGCAGAGGACCUGAGGGGUGACACUCUCUGCAGACAAGCAGGUUCCUGUCCUAGAGAAAGACCUCACUGGGAAUAGCCGCCCUCAGAGACCUGUGCAGAAGCCAGGCAGGAAGCCUGGGACGGUGGCAGAUGCUUCAGGAAGAGCGAGCCCGGCCUGAGAAGUGAGAGCAGGACAAGGAUGUCACCGGGAAGCCACAGUGUGAGCUGAGGAGGGAAGGAGGGACGAAGGUGGCAAGAAGGGGAGCCAGGCAGCGUGAGAGAGGGACGUGAGGAAAUGAAACGCCUUCUGCUCACACAGAGAGAGCCGGCCACUAAUGAGGAGGCGUGUGCUGCUUACCGAGCCUGGAAAUGCCUAAGUGUGAAUUCCUCCUCUCCUAUUUCAUUUCAGAUGAAAACUGAGACUCUAGAAGUUUCCAGAAUGGCGCUCAGUAAGCUGUAACCCAGUUACCAUGUCUAUCUUGGGCAGAGUGGGAGGAUGCAGCAUUUUAAGUAAAAAGAAAAUCAACCCCAGUCUGGCCAAUGGGCUGUUUGUUAGGGUGAUCCCAUGAGAUACUGUCAGAUACAGUCUGGCCAGUGGGCUGUUAGGGUGAUCCCGUGAGAUACUGAGCCACUGUCCUCCCUAGUGGUGGGUCUAGGCCUUGCAGGAUGGGUGGGACAGGAACCAUGGCCUCUUUCCUCAGGGUGGGCCUGAGCAGUCUGCACCCUCAUGCAGAGCAAGAGCAGGGAGAAGUCAGGGCCUCCCAGGUCCAGAGACCCUGCCCCUAUGAGUCACACACAAGCACGUGGGCUUUCAGGGCCUUCAAAGAGCAUCUCUUCAGGACACUCCCCACCCACAGACCACAUCUGAUUUGUCCCCCACUGUAACCUGAGUGCCUUGCACAGCAUCUGGCACAGGGAAGGACUCAGGAACACCCACUGAAAGGUUGAAUGGAGAGGGACAGACAGCAAAAUGAAGAAAGAAAACGCAAUACUUGAGUGAUGUUCUUUAUAAAAACACGGAGCAACCAUCCAGGCAGUGGGAGGACCAGGAGCAGGUGACCCGUGCUGCACAGCAUCUUGGCCACCCGGCCCUGGGAGCCUGGAGUAUCGGGUUUCAGCAAAGAGCUGCCAGGUUCUCUCUGAGAAGCCCAAGUAACUGCCCCUCCAGGGGCCUCACAGAGCACCCCCUCGGCGCCGUGUGCGUCUGCUGAGAACAGGAAGAAGGCAGAACGGUGAUUCCGACUCCAGCUGUUCAUCGUGGCCUCCUUCACGAAAGGCAGAGUGAGUGCCACCAGCGCACUGUAAUGCCCUAUUCAUAAAACACCCUAAUGAGGAAUAAGUGUUUACUCAAUUUUGCCGCACGAUGGGGAGCAAUACAGAGCUAUCUGCAGUCAGUGUGGUUGUUAAUAUUCAUUGAAAAGGGACCGGGAUGAGCUGCUCCAGUUAAUUGUCAGUGGAUCCCAUAGAGGCAGAAAUCGCCUCAUUCCACUUUCCUUUCAUCUUGAAUGAUGACAAUGCCAGGAAAUGCUUAUUUUGUGAUUGUUUUCUAUUGUCAGAUUUAACUUGGAUCACACAAAGAUACACAAAUUGUGUAAUGUCAAGGACAGGCAAACAGCAUUCAGAUGACUUCAAGUGCUAACUCAGGGUAUGCAUCCUCCAAGCCUCUCAUGUGUCAAUACUAUGCAAAGAAACAGGGAGCAGCAAUCUUCUGGUGAACUGAGUUAGCAGUCAUCGUUCCCCGCACAGCCAUCCUUGGAUGAUGACAGCAGCGUAAAGACUGUCUGCGCAGAGCUCACAUAUGAUGUGUGUUAACUGUGGAUGAGCUUCCUGUGGGUACCAUUACAAACAACCACAAACCUCGUGGCCUCAAACAACAGAAAUGUAUUGUCUCACAGUUCUGGAGGCCAGAAGUCCACAAUUGAGGUGUCAGUGGGGUUGGUUCCUUCCAGAGGCUCAGAGGGAGACCCAUUCCAUGCCUCUCUCCUGGCUUCCAGCGGCUGCCAGUCAGUCUUGUUGCUUGGCUGGUUGACUGGAGUUGCGCCGCUGCAGUCUCUGCCUCUGUCUUUACAUGUGGCUCACUUGGGUGUCUGUGUGUCCUCUCCUCUUCUUAUAAGGAUGCCAGUCAUUGGACUUAGAGCCUGCCCUAAAUCCAACAGGAUCUCAUCUUGAGACUGUUAGCUUAAUUACCUCUGCUAAGACCCUGUUUCCAAAUAAAGUCACAUUUACAUGUCCUGGGAGUUAGGACUUGGACAUAGUUUGGGAGAACACUAUUUAACCAACUACAACCUGCAUUUAUAAGAACGUGCAGAGAAAGGUUAAGGUGGGCCAUCCCUGAGCUCUCACCUUUAGGCACUGCUGAUAGUGUAUGUCUUUGCUCCCACUGACCCACCACCACUAAGUCCCACGGCCAGCACCCUGCCUUCUGCCCCGCCCUUGGCUUUGCAUAAGUGCAUCUAGAACAUCAGUUUUCCACUUUGAUAUGAACCAAGACUCAGAAGAAGAGACUUCUGGUGGGGAUAGGGGGGACUCAGAAGGAGCCUCCAUAAAGGGCACACAAAGGAACCGAGACAGAAGCCUGACUUAGCAUCACUCCUGGAACAGGACAGAAGUGACGUGAGCUGUCACUUCUCCAGCAGGCUGUCACUUGUUACUUCCCUCCUCUGAUCCAGGCUGCUCUGUCCUGGAGCAGUUCCAGAAGCCUGGAAGGUGGCAAAGAAGUAGAAAGGCUAAGCUGUGAACUCUCAGCAGGAUUCACAGGCUGCUCUUGGGCAAAACAUCAGAGUGUGAUAAUAUUCCCAACCAAUGAGUCCCUCUCCAGGUAUUUGAAGGAAAUCUCAUAGCCAGGUGGUAAGAGAUGUUGCUGCCACUUUUAGCCUCUGCACAGUGAAACUGAGAAACUUGACAAAAAGGAGUCCACACCUGUAUGGGUGUUACCCAAAAAGAAAUCACGAGAGUGACCUUGAUAUGGUUUGGCUGUGUCCCCAUUCAAAUCUCAACUUCAAUUGUAUCUCCCAGAAUUCCCACGUGUUAUGGGACGGACCCAGCGGGAGGUAAUUGAAUCAUGGGGGUGGUCUCUUCCAUGCUAUUCUCGUGAUAGUGAAUAAGUCUCACAACAUCUGAUGGGUUUAUCAGGGGGUUCUGCUUUUGCUUCUUCCUCAUUCUCUCUUGCUGCUACCAUGUAUAAAGUGCCUUUUGCCUUCCGUCAUGAUCACGAGAUCUCCCCAGCCAUGUGGAACCAUAAGUCAAAUUAAACCUCCUUUUCUCCCCAGUCUUGGGUUUGUCUUUAUCAGCAGCUUAAAAACGGACUAAUACAGACCUGCUUCAAAAUUUUCACAAAUCAGCUGGGGAAAAAAAGCAGAACCAUGGGAG